CGUGUGCUGCUUGGCUAGCGGCGGCCGCGGCUGCCCAGUGGGUGUACGCCUCCUCGGCGCGCCCCUGGCCGGCGGGGAGCCUGUGAGCCCGGUUCUCUGCGGGGCAAGGGGCUGCUUAUCGAGAAUGUGGCGUCCCUCUGAGGCCCCACGGUCCGGGCCUACACCCAGAUGAACGAGCUGCAGCGGCGCCUUGGGCCCCGGGGCCUGGUGGUGCUCAGCUUCCCGGGCAACCCGUUUGGACCUCAGGAGAACGCCAAGAACGAAGAGAUUUUGAAUUCCCUCAAGUACGUCUGACCUGGUGGUGGGUUCGAGCCCAACUUCAUGCUCUUCGAGAAGUGCGAGGUGAAGGGUGCGGGGUCGCACCCUCUCUUCGCCUUCCUGCGGGAGGCCCUGCCAGCGCCCAGCGACGAUGCCACUGCGCUCAUGACCGACCCCAAGCUCAUCACCUGAUCUCCGGUAUGCCGAAAUGAUGUUGCAUGGAACUUCGAGAAGUUCCUCGUGGGCCCUGACGGUGUUCCUGUGCGCAGGUACAGCCGCCGCUUCCAGACCAUUGACAUAGAGCCUGACAUCAAAGCCCUGUUGUCCCAAGGGCCCAGAUGUGCCUAGGGCGCCCCUCCUACCCUGGCUGCCUGGCAGUUGCAGCGCUGCUCUC